CCUACGGGAGACAGCAGUGAGGAAUAUUGGUCAAUGGACGAGAGUCUGAACCAGCCAAGUAGCGUGAAGGAUGACUGCCCUAUGGGUUGUAAACUUCUUUUAUAUGGGAAUAAAACGUUCCACGUGUGGGAUUUUGUAUGUACCAUAUGAAUAAGGAUCGGCUAACUCCGUGCCAGCAGCCGCGGUAAUACGGAGGAUCCGAGCGUUAUCCGGAUUUAUUGGGUUUAAAGGGAGCGUAGGUGGGUUGUUAAGUCAGUUGUGAAAGUUUGCGGCUCAACCGUAAAAUUGCAGUUGAAACUGGCAGUCUUGAGUACAGUAGAGGUGGGCGGAAUUCGUGGUGUAGCGGUGAAAUGCUUAGAUAUCACGAAGAACUCCGAUUGCGAAGGCAGUUCACUGGACUGCAACUGACACUGAGGCUCGAAAGUGUGGGUAUCAAACAGGAUUAGAUACCCCUGUAGUC
rnacentral:rRNA from 1 species